AUUGAACGCUGGCGGAAUGCUUUACACAUGCAAGUCGAACGGUAGAGGGGGCAACCCCUCGAGAGUGGCGAACGGGUGAGUAAUAUAUCGGAACGUGCCCAGUCGUGGGGGAUAACGUAGCGAAAGUUACGCUAAUACCGCAUACGAUCUAAGGAUGAAAGCGGGGGAUCGCAAGACCUCGCGCGAUUGGAGCGGCCGAUAUCAGGUUAGGUAGUUGGUGGGGUAAAGGCUCACCAAGCCAACGAUCUGUAGCUGGUCUGAGAGGACGACCGGCCAGACUGGAACUGAGACACGGUCCAGACUCCUACGGGAGGCAGCAGUGGGGAAUUUUGGACAAUGGACGCAAGUCUGAUCCAGCCAUUCCGCGUGCAGGAUGAAGGCCCUCGGGUUGUAAACUGCUUUUGUACGGAACGAAAAGGUCUCUCUUAAUACGGGGGACUCAUGACGGUACCGUAAGAAUAAGCACCGGCUAACUACGUGCCAGCAGCCGCAGUAACAC
rnacentral:rRNA from 1 species